rnacentral:rRNA from 1 species
UAUCGGAACGUGCCCUGGAGUGGGGGAUAACGUAGCGAAAGUUACGCUAAUACCGCAUACGAUCUACGGAUGAAAGUGGGGGAUCGCAAGACCUCAUGCUCGUGGAGCGGCCGAUAUCUGAUUAGCUAGUUGGUGGGGUAAAGGCCUACCAAGGCAUCGAUCAGUAGCUGGUCUGAGAGGACGACCAGCCACACUGGGACUGAGACACGGCCCAG